UGAUCCAGCCAUGCCGCGUGAGUGAAGAAGGCCUUCGGGUUGUAAAGCUCUUUCGUUGGGAAGAAACGGGGUUCUCUAACAUAAAGCGCUCAUGACGGUACCGACAGAACAAGCACCGGCUAACUACGUGCCAGCAGCCGCGGUAAUACGUAGGGUGCGAGCGUUAAUCGGAAUUACUGGGCGUAAAGCGUGCGCAGGCGGUUGUGUAAGACAGGUGUGAAAUCCCCGGGCUCAACCUGGGAACUGCGCUUGUGACUGCACGGCUAGAGUACGGCAGAGGGGGAUGGAAUUCCACGUGUAGCAGUGAAAUGCGUAGAUAUGUGGAGGAACACCGAUGGCGAAGGCAACCCCCUGGGCCGAUACUGACGCUCAUGCACGAAAGCGUGGGGAGCAAACAGGAUUAGAUACCCUGGUAGUCCACGCCCUAAACGAUGUCGACUAGUUGUUCGGAGCGGA
rnacentral:rRNA from 1 species